UGGGGAAUAUUGCACAAUGGGCGAAAGCCUGAUGCAGCAACGCCGCGUGAGUGAUGAAGGCCUUCGGGUUGUAAAGCUCUGUCUUCUGGGACGAUAAUGACGGUACCAGAGGAGGAAGCCACGGCUAACUACGUGCCAGCAGCCGCGGUAAUACGUAGGUGGCAAGCGUUGUCCGGAUUUACUGGGCGUAAAGGAUGCGUAGGCGGAUACUUAAGUCAGAUGUGAAAAUCCCGGGCUUAACUUGGGAACUGCAUUUGAAACUGGGUAUCUAGAGUGCGGGAGAGGAAAGUGGAAUUCCUAGUGUAGCGGUGAAAUGCGUAGAGAUUAGGAAGAACACCAGCGGCGAAGGCGACUUUCUGGACCGUAACUGACGCUGAGGCAUGAAAGCGUGGGGAGCAAACA
rnacentral:rRNA from 1 species